rnacentral:lncRNA from 1 species
GGGAGUCUUCCGCUGCAGGUAGAUCUUCUAGGAGGUGCAACUGUAGUUUCAUUUUGCUCUCUUUGCUCACUUUGCUCAACAUUAGUGUCAGCCUAAAAAACAUCAUGAGUAACAUUAUCAACAAUAUUUUCAGUUUGCAUAUGAAUAUCAUCAUGAGUCUGGGCAUAGUGUUGAGGAAUAGGUAAAGAAAGACUGUUUGAGUCAUUAUUUUGUAUAUGAUUUCAAUGGUAAGGAAAAAAAAUUUCAUAAAAAAUAACAUUUUUUUGAUAAAUCUAUCCUAUGGUUUUUAAGGUUUAGAAACAAAAAAACAUUUUUUGUUUGGUAUGAAACCAAGGAAAACGCCUAGAACAACACGACUGCCUAGUUUUUUUUUUCUGUGAGCAAGAAUAGUUGAAUAAUAGCAUAGACACCCAAAAACACAAAGGGAAGAAAUAUCACAAAGAUUUUUAUGCAAUUUUUCAUAAGGCAUAACAUUAUUAAGCAGCGGAGUAGGCAUACAAUUAAUAAGGAAGAUAGCAUGUUGUGCAGCAAAGCAAAAAAAAAAAAAAACAGGAAGAUUAGAUUGAAAAAGCAAGGCAUGUGUGACAUUUAAGAGGUGUUGAUGUUUUCUUUCAACAAUACCAUUUUGCUCAUGUGUUUCAAUACAAGUGGUUUGAUGUAUAAUACCUUUUGAUGCAAAAAAUUCAUACAUAGAAAAUUCAAUACAAUAUCCGUACGAAUGGUUUUAACCUUAGUAGAAAAAUGGUUUUCAGCAUAAACAAUAAAAUUAACAACACUAGCCCUGACUUCAGAUUUGUUAUGCAUGGGAAAAACCCAAGUGUAUCUAGUGAAAUCAUCAACUAUGGUAAGAAAGAACUUAUAACCAAGCAUGAAAACAACAUAACAGGGACCCCGUAUAUCAAUAUGCAGGAAUUCAAAAGCUUGAACAGUUUUAGUAUUAUUAGGAAAGAAAGAAAGUUUCUUUUGUUUGGCUUGGUGACAUGUAUCACAAACAUAGUUUUUGUCAAUAUGAAUAUUAGGAUAGUAGGUUUGCAGAAUUUUUAACCUUUCUUCUAAGGGGUUACCCAUUAUGAGGUGCCAAAUGUUCCUCUGUUUUGCAGUGUAGCUCAUAAUUUUGUUGUCAGUUAGUCCAACUACAAGAUCAACUGUACCAAUCUUGUCUUUGGUUCUG